ensembl:lncRNA
AGAGCCGCGGCCCUCUUCCUCCCCCAUGGCACCCCGCGGCGCUUUUAUUGACCAGAUAGUAUGAAUGAGGAAACUGAAUACACACCGGUCCGCGCCGCCCUUAGAUAGAUUGCCAUUGAGACGCUGAGGUAACAGUGAUCGUGAAUGAUGCAAAAAAUAGCCCUUUGUUUGCAUGGAAGAGAGGGGAACAUCUCUUACUAAGGUUGUUGUUCCCUUAAGAACAUGCUGGUACUUCUUUGUUUGGAGUUGUUCUUUUUUUCUAAAUGUGUUAAGUUUGCAACCAUGUCCAUACCUGCCUCUAUAUUUGGGCAUCUAAUGGUACCAUUCAGGAGUUUCCACAUUGAUGUUGACUAGGAAGACUCUAGCAGCUGAACAGUGAAGCUUCCAUUCCAAGCAGCACAGGCAUAUAGCCCAGGAGACAGCGACUCCAACAACACCAACAAACAGAACAGAACAAUGUGGAAAUGGGCUACACACAGCACAUUGGAUCCAGAUGACAGAGUCAAACGAGUGGAAACCGACUUAAUGAAAAUAGAUGCAAAUCGGCCAACUUGCUGGAAUUGCUUCCCCCUCUGCCAGUGACGGGAGGUCACAUGGGCGCUGGAGGUCACAUGGGCGCCGGGGAACUGCUUUGUUUAUGACUUCACAGCUGCUCAGCACUCACUGUUAGAUAAAGAUGAAAGCCAGGCUCACAUUGCCGUCUUACGUAAUUUAGACUAUGAUCAUGAUUGUUCAUGGAAUUAUGAGCUGAGAUAAGCCACAUCUGAUAUGAGUCUGAUAUGGAGGUACCACUACCAUAAAGGAGUCAUUUCUAUACAUUGGCUGAUAUAUUUAUUCAUCUACCAAUGUAUCUAUUGAUCUAUCUAUUGGUUUACCAUAAUUAAUAACAUCGCUUAACAACAUGUUACAGCUCUGUGAUAUGGACUUGGCAACGAUGCACUACUGUGCUGUGUGCGUGUGGUGACUGCUUUUCCUCUGUAUAAUCCAUCUCUAGUUCACAGACACUUGAACAACAGAGCUGAGCGCUGGAAGGCAACAGCCUGCAAUCAAACAGAUUUAGGGCAAAAUCUUAAUCAAUCAUAAUCAAUCUUAGUCUCCCAACUCUCUGUCAUCCCUCAAACUCUCCUGCGCAACCAGGCAUUUCCAAAGAAUCGUGCAAUAAGACCUGUGAUAUUCCAAAAGCCUGUUGAAUGGCCUGGGGUCACCCUUGGGCCUCGUUGAAUUGGGUGUGAUGAGGUCUCACCCUGGUUUGGAUCUGUCUUUGGUGAAAUUUCCACACUAGAUCAGCCUUAAGUUUGCUCUUUAAGGCCUUGCGCUUAUUUUUACCAGUCCAGAUCAUUGCUAAUUUGCUAAGUAUGCUAAGUAUCCCGUCUUCAUAGAGUAAAGAGUCCUCAAACUGUACAUAGUCUUUAAAUGAAUGUCGUAUUUGUACAUCAGUAUAUGGUGGAUCAUUAAAUACACCAGCUGAGACAUGAUAUAUAAAAUGAGACAUCUCUCCACAAACUCAUAAAAUACAAACCCAUGCCAUGAUCAUGACCAGGCUUCCUCUUAACUUGCGCUGUAUGAAACAGAUGUUGUGAGACAUGAAUGCAUACCUUAACCACAGUGUCAUGAAUUGCAUGCUUGAAGUCCUCAUACAUUUACACCUAAAAAUGCAGAAGCUGCCAAAGCCCUGUAAUUCCUCUCUCUUUCUCUCUCUCUCUUUCUCCCUCUUUGAUAGGGCACAGGGCACGCUAAGUUGUCCAUCUGGAAGAGGAAUAGAGAGAGCAAUAGAUUGGGGGAGGGGUGAAUUGUGAAUCGGGUCAAGAUGUUUAAGGCCUAACUUUGAAUUUGGGUUGAAUAUGCCUUUUCCAAGUCACUGAUAAUAUCAGACUUUUUUCACGUAAAUGGUGCGUCGACAAAGGUCUGUGGUAAACUGAUAAUAAUGGUAGUCUGUUGUUUACCUGGUAUGUGUUUAUGUACUUGGUGUUCCUGUACUAUGUUGAGGGUAUAGUUGGAGUAGCCUCUUUUGGAGUCCUUGAUCCAUGUGAUGGUUUGAUAAAGGGGGUGGGGCGAGGGGGUAUGGGGGGUUAAACGUCUCUCUCCCUCUUCAGCUGUGGCCCCACUCUUCACAGGACAUCCUCUAGAAGUUAUUUUAGAACAGAGAGAGAGAAGGGCAGUGAGAAAGAAAGAGAGAGGGGGAGGUAACAGGAGAGAAAGAGAGAGACAGAGAGAGAGAGAGAGAGAGAGAGCAGGACCAAGGGGAGACAGAGAGAGAGAGAUAGAGAGAGAGAGAUAGAGAGAGAUAGAGAGAGAGACUGGCAAGCUGUGGGAGCGCGACAGUGCCAUCUGACAACCAAUGGGAGGGCUGCUGCAGUGCUUGAGAAUGAAGGCAGCAGUGGUGGCGGGCGGCAGAGACCCAGAUCUAAUGCUUUAUGGUGCUGUGCGCUUCAGGGAAACCAUGUGACUUUCCACAAAGCAAUUGAGGGGAGAGGGAGAGAGAGAGGGGUAGAGAGAGCGAGAGAGAGAGAGAGACAAGAAGAGGAGGGGAGAGGGAGGGGGUUCAAAAGGAGGAAAAGUGGUUUACAGCGCACAGAGAGGGAGGUGAAAGAGAGGAAGAGAAUGACAGUGAAGGACAGGCCAAUGAAAGGCAUUGCUGUGAUGUGGUAAGGUUCUUUGGGGGAAAUAAAGUGAUGGACAGAUGAAAGAGGAGGAGAAGAGGGUUCAUUGUGUGUACUGUGCACCUACGGGUACUUGCAUGCUCAGCUAAUUCUCUUUCAUUAAAGUAGUUUA